ACUGACUCAAAAUCUCUGGAGGGAACCCAGGAACCUUCAUUCUAUCAAGAACCCCCAGGUGGUUCUUAGCACUUCAAAGUUGGGGAGCCUCUGCUUCCAUCGGAAAGCAUCAAGCAACGAUGGCCAUAAUAGAAAUGCUACUAUCAAUGGGACAGAAAAGAUACCUGGGAAAGAUUGCUCCUGUUGGCUGUGACAGCUUCUCUGACUUUGUGAUGACUUCGACAGUCUUAAGAAGAAAUCAUCGGCUAUUUCGUAGAAUGGCCCUCAAGUGGGGUUUUGGCAGGUGAUUUUCUCAUGAUUGGACUGGGGUUGUGGGUUUUUGGAAGGAAGAAUACAGACAUAGUCAUUUCCAUAACAUCCAUUCACUUCAAAGCAAUCCUACGUUUGGGCAGUGCUCGGCAAGGAUGGUUAUUGCUGCUGCACAUGGAGAAGCGUGAUGCCAGGGUUGGAGAAUCUGCUUUAAAGAUAGCUCUUUUACACAACUGAUGGAACACCAUGGUGCUUUUAAAUCAAGUGAAAGUUUUGGGCCAGGAUUUUGAAGUAUCGUUUCCAUUAGGGUGGGGAAUGGGAACGGAACCUACAAACCGGGAAAAAAAAGAUUUUGGCGAGAAGCAUGAAGGAGAUUCUGUUCAUGGCAGCUGUUAAUUUAAGCCAAUUCCACUGGGCAUCCUGUUCAGGAGAAGAAGGGGAAGGAAUCUUGUGCCCCAGUAGAGAAAUGAGUGUUCACAGGAGCCCUGUUGCAAUUUGCCCUUUACCGAUUGGAAAACUGAGGCUUUGAAAGAUCAUCUAAGGGGGAGGAGCCAAGAUGGCCGAAGAGGAACAGCUCCGGUCUACAGCUUCCAGCGUGAGCGACGCAGAAGACAGGGUUGGUUCCUUCUUCCCAGGAAGAGUUUCCUCAGAGAGACUGCAACUGAUGACUCUAAACCAGAGCUAUGCAACUGUUGGAUGUUCUCUCCCUGCACCUUGAACUCCCAUCUCAAUACUUAAUUAAAUUGUACUGUACAUUGUUUAAUUAUUUAUA